rnacentral:rRNA from 1 species
AUUGAACGCUGGCGGAAUGCUUUACACAUGCAAGUCGAGCGGCAGCGCGGCCUUCGGGCUGGCGGCGAGCGGCGAACGGGUGAGUAAUGCAUCGGAACAUGCCCAGUCGUGGGGGAUAACACUUCGAAAGAAGUGCUAAUACCGCAUACGUCCUGAGGGGGAAAGCGGGGGAUCGCAAGACCUCGCGCGAUUGGAGUGGCCGAUGUCAGAUUAGCUAGUUGGUGGGGUAAAGGCCUACCAAGGCGACGAUCUGUAGCUGGUCUGAGAGGAUGGUCAGCCACACUGGGACUGAGACACGGCCCAGACUCCUACGGGAGGCAGCAGUGGGGAAUUUUGGACAAUGGGGGCAACCCUGAUCCAGCCAUUCCGCGUGAGUGAAGAAGGCCUUCGGGUUGUAAAGCUCUUUCGGCAGGAACGAAACGGUGGGCUCUAACAUAGUCCGCUAAUGACGGUACCUGAAGAAGAAGCACCGGCUAACUACGUG